UUUUAUUACUAUCUUUAUGGCAUUUUAUGCGUUUUUGCCUCUUGCUACUCUUUAUGCUUUAUUUUCACUAACAAGUUUAUUUCCAUGUUUCAUGCAUCUCAUUUAGCAUUCCCUCCACUAUCCUUAGCCUAGCAUUUAUUUUUGUAAGUUUUAAUUCAUUUGGUGAUGUAAUUUGCUAUCAUUGAUUUGUAGCUUGGCAAAGGGGCCAUAGAAUGUAUUUAGGGAAUUUUUGUAAUAUGGACUAUGGACACUAUGACGCACCGGCACGCACACACUCACCUUAGAUGUAUGCAUAGGAUUGUAUGGUUAGAUGAAUGCUUAGGCUUAAACACUUAGAUAAAAAUCAACUUUUUUUCAA
rnacentral:lncRNA from 1 species